UAGACAUGACUUAGACCAAGAGGAGGACAGAGGACUAACAGUCUCUUUGAAUGUGUGAAGGUCUGGCCGUUUUGUAGAGAUGACAGAGACAGAAGCAACGGGGAACACACUUUCUCUGUAACAAGGUCCUUAGGUCUGAAGAGUGCUGUCUGUGAAGUUUACUACGGAUUUGCCUAUUCUGGAUGUUUCAUAUUAAUGGAACCAUAAAAUACGUGGACUGGCUGAUUUUAUUGAGAUAUGAUUUGCAUACCAUAAAAUUCAUCUUUUAAUGAUUGCUGUGGCUCUUACUAGAUCCCUUGCAUUUCCAUAUGAAUUUUAGGGUCAUCUGUCAAUUUCUGCAAAAAUGGCAGCUGGAAUUUUGAGAGAGACUACAUUGAAUCUGUGCCUCAAAUUAGGAGUACGGCCACCCUAGCAAUAAUGCGGUGGCUCAUGACUGUAAUCCCAGCACUUUGGAAGGCUGAAGUGGGAGGACUGCUUGGGACCAGCGCUGGCAACAUAGCAAGGCUUUAUCUCUAUAACAAAAUAAAAACAUUAGCCAGGCAUGGUGGCACAUGCCUGUAGUCCCAGCUACACAGGAGGCUGAGGUGAGAGGAUCAGUUGAGACUAUGAGGUUGAGGCUGCACAGUGAGCUGUGAUUGUACCCCUGCACUCCAGCCUGAGUGACAGAGUGAGACCCUGUCUCAAAAAAAAAAAAAAAAAAUUCUCCUGCAUUGCUUGCACAUUCAGUGGUCUUGCCAGAUAUUCAUGUAGGUGAAAAAGCUGUUUAUAAUUACAUGAUUAUAAAAGCUAGUCUAUUUUGCUUGCAAAAUGCAAAAUGAUUUUGUAAUGUUUAAUAUAAAUAGAAGGUGUUAUGACUUCAACUGCCAUGUAAAUUAAUAGAUUGUUUGAACAAACUUUGUUCACAACUUUUCUAAAUGUAAUCAAGUCACCAAAAGCAACACUUCUUAGGUGUCUGAGGGGCCAAUAUAAUGCACUCAGAUUAGUCUGCAUUUAUAGCUACUGCAUUAACAAUGAUUAAUUCCUAUUAUCUUCUAUUAUAGCUAUGCCAACAUACAUAAAUAUUAAAAUAUACAUUAUUUUAUAAUAAAUUCAUUUCUUUUUAUUUCUCCAAUUAUUUUGCUUACAUUAUAUUGAUAAAAAAUGAAUAAGUAACCCACUGUGGCAGUUAUGGAGUGUAAUUCCUGAUUUUUCAGUUUUCUUUGCCUGACAAACACUAAUUCAUUUUAGUUUUAGUAGUUAAUAAGCAUAAAUGUAGACCCCAAGGCAUUUUUUCUUGCUCUUCUAGUAGACUGAAAUAAUUACACUUGUCUUUCUACCCUGCCCCUGAUCUGUUGGCUAACUAGGGGUCUCAAGUGGAGACACGGUCGCAUUUUCUAUUUUAUCCGGAGAUUUGUAAUUGGCAACCCACUUUCCACCAAGUGUUCUUUCCUCAUUGAGCACCUCUCGUUGAUCUUGACAUAUUGGUGGCAUGAACACAUUCUCUCCCUCACAGAAAACUUAGGAAUUGGGGAAAUGUGACAUCGGAGAUCAUCUACUUGUCUGGUUCUUCUUUGGAAAAGUAAUUUUCCAUACGUGGUGAUUGAUAGGUAAAUCUUUGGCUGUAGAACUCCUCUCCCAACAACGGGUUUCCUUAAAACUAAGUUCAGUUGGUGGAAUUUUUGUCUUUAUAUUCCCCAAACAGCAGCUCCAUUCAUAGAUUGUGAAGUUGAAAUUGUGACGUGUGUGCAAAAUGCAAAGGAUCAUUAUAUUUGCAUUUUUUUUACAAUCUUUGGUGACAAUUUAGUCAUCAUCAGUAUUAUAAUCUUUGAAAGUGAAGACGCUAAAAUAACUAGUGUGCACAUCAGUGUUCAAAAUGGUCAGAACGUGGGAAAAAAGCUAAAAUUCCAUCAAUAAAUGAAUGUAUUAAAACGUGUGGCAUAUAUAUAUAUAUGAAAUGAAAUACUAUUCAACCUUAAAAAGGAGUGAAAUUCUGACACAUGCUGUAACAUAGAUAAAACUUGAAAACACUCUGCUAAGUGAAAGAAAGCAGACACAAAAGGACAAAUACUGUUCGAUUCCACUUAUACGAGGUACUCAAGUAGGCAUAGUCACAGUCAUAGAACAUAAUAGAGGUUACCAGGGACUGAAAGUAGAGGGGACUGGGGAGUUAUUGUUUAAUGGGCACAGAGUUUCUGUUUGGGGAUGAUGAAAAAGUUCUGGAAAUGGAUAUUGAUGAUGGUUGCACAACAUCAUGAAUGUCAUUAAUGCCAUUGAAUCAUAUACUUAAAAAUGGUAAAUUUCAUGUUAUGUAUAUUUUAGCACAAUGAGAGAACACAAAGAAAAAUAAAUUGUAAACCUAGUAUGUUUUACUGAUUUAAAUAUUCUUCACAAAUGAAACUGAAAUGAACAUUUUUCAGAAACAGAAUAGAGAAAAUCUGUGACCUGCAGGUCUGCACUAAAGAACAACUAAAGUUGCCGGGCGCGGUGGCUCAGGCCUGUAAUCCCAGCACUGUGGGAGGCCGAGGCGGGCGGAUCACGAGGUCAGGAGAUGGAGACCAUCCUGGCUAAUCCGUCUCUACUAAAGAUACAAAAAAUUAGCCGGGCAUGGUGGUGGGCACCUGCAGUCCCAGCUACUCGGGAGGCUGAGGCGGGAGAAUGGCGUGAACCCGGGAGGCGGAGCUUGCAGUGAGCCGAGAUGCGCCACCGCACUCCAGCCUGGGGGUCCGUCUAAAAAAAAAAAAAAACUACUAAAGAGAGUUUUAAAGGAGGACGGAAAUGUAGACAUGCAGAAAGGAAUGAAGAGCGAUGGAAAGCGGAAAGCGUAAGUGUGUGUGUAAGGAACUGUCACAGAAUAAAUAUAAAUAUUUAAAUAUAAAAAUAUAAAAAAUAUUUAUAAAAAUAUAAAUAUUUAUUAAAAAUAUAAAGUUCAA